rnacentral:rRNA from 1 species
GGUGAACGCUGGCGGCGUGCUUAAGACAUGCAAGUCGAACGGCAGUCUUCGGACUGUAGUGGCGCACGGGUGAGUAACGCGUAACUGACCUACCCCAAAGUCGCGGAUAACGAUUCGAAAGAAUCGCUAAUACGUGAUGUGCUGUCAGAUUGUGUUCUGCCAGUAAAGAUUGAUUGCUUUGGGAUGGGGUUGCGUUCCAUCAGCUAGUUGGUGGGGUAAAGGCCCACCAAGGCGACGACGGAUAGCCGGCCUGAGAGGGUGGCCGGCCACAGGGGCACUGAGACACGGGUCCCACCCCUACGGGAGGCAGCAGUUAGGAAUCUUCCACAAUGGGCGAAAGCCUGAUGGAGCGACGCCGCGUGAGGGAUGAAGGUCUUCGGAUCGUAAACCUCUGAAUCAGGGACGAAAGACACUCGGUGGGAUGACGGUACCUGAGUAAUAGCACCGGCUAACUCCGUGCCAGCCGCCGCCGUAAAAC